GAUGAACGCUGGCGGCGUGCCUAAUACAUGCAAGUCGAGCGAACAGACGAGGAGCUUGUUCCUCUGACGUUAGCGGCGGACGGGUGAGUAACACGUGGAUAACCUACCUAUAAGACUGGGAUAACUUCGGGAAACCGGAGCUAAUACCGGAUAAUAUAUUGAACCGCAGGGUUCAAUAGUGAAAGACGGUUUUGCUGUCUCUUAUAGAUGGUUCCGCGCCGCAUUAGCUAGUUGGUAAGGUAACGGCUUACCAAGGCAACGAUGCGUAGCCGACCUGAGAGGCUGAUCGGCCACACUGGAACUGAGACACGGUCCAGACUCCUACGGGAGGCAGCAGUAGGGAAUCUUGCGCAGUAGGCGAAAGCCUGACGGAGCAACGCCGCGUGGGUGGUGGAGGUCUUCGGGUCGUAAAACUCUGUUAUUAGGGAAGAACAAAUGUGUAAGUAGCUGUAGACGUCUUGACGGUACCUGAUCAGAAAGCCCCGGCUAACUACGUG
rnacentral:rRNA from 1 species